CGACUAUUUUCCCCUUCUGGCGAUAGGCUCUGCAACGAAUUUUGUUGUUAUUUUAAUCGUGUUGUAUGCAUGCGAAUCUUAUUUGCAUCAUAUCAUUGCCAGUCGUGUGCCCAUUCUAUGUAGUUUUUUUUUCUUUCAUUUUGUGAUUGCUCUGGCUGAUGCUCUUAUCCUAACAGUACGAGG